rnacentral:tRNA from 1 species
GGUCUUGUAGCUCAGUUGACUUGAGCGUCGGGUCUAUUAGAGUCUUCCCCUUGCUGUCGUGGGUUCAAAUCCCACCGAGGCCA